AUGGGGUCACAGGUUCAGCUCUUCUGCUUCCUGCUCCUCUGGAUCUCUGAUACCAGAGCAGAAAUAUUACUCACACAGUCUCCAGCAUUCCUGUCAGUGACUCUAGGAGACAAUGUCGCCAUCACCUGCAAAGCUAGCCAAGAUAUUGAUGAGGAUUUGCAGUGGUAUCAGCAGAAACCAGGAGAAGCUCCUAAGCUCAUUAUUAAAGGUGUUUCCACUCUCAUCUCUGGGGUUCCCCCCCGGUUCAGUGGCAGUGGGUAUGGAAUAGAUUUUACCCUGAGAAUUAAUAACAUAAAAUCUGAGGAUGUCACAUAUUACUUCUGUCAGCAAGAUGAUAACUUCGCCUCUCACAGUGAUACACCCUGUUAA